GAUCCUGGCUCAGGAUGAACGCUAGCGACAGGCCUAACACAUGCAAGUCGGAGGGGCAUCAGGUAUCAGCUUGCUGAUACGCUGGCGACCGGCGCACGGGUGAGUAACGCGUAUGCAAUCUGCCUGUAACGAGGGGGAUAACCCGGAGAAAUCCGGCCUAACUACCCCAUAAGGAUGUCUGUCCGCAUGGGCGGUCAUCUAAAGGUUUUCCGGUUACAGAUGGGCAUGCGUUCCAUUACG
rnacentral:rRNA from 1 species